rnacentral:lncRNA from 1 species
CCUACAUAUUAAAUAGAUUUUCAUGAUCUAACAUGUUUGUAUCACUUUUUUAAAGUGAAUAUACACAAAGGUUCUGUUACAGACCUUUUUUUUAGAGUGAAUAUACACAAAGGUUCUGCUACAGAACCCUUUUUAAAAGGGAAUAUACACAAAGGUUCUGCUACAGAACCCUUUUUGAAAGCGAAUAUACACAAAGGUUCUGCUACAGAACUCUUGUUAAUACGUGAAGAUUUAAAGGGUUCCUAGGCUAAGGGUUCCAAGAGGAACAUGACCUCUUGUCCCACGAUUAAGUAAUGAGAAAUAAAAUAAAAAUCUCCAAACAUAAUCAACCCACUAUAUUUAUGAUUCACAGGAUUGAAAAUGCAUAAAUCAAUAAAGGUCGCUAAUAUAAACUUGUAAGUUUCGCAUCGGAAAUUUAGCUUUUGUGAUGAUAUUUCAAUCAAAUGAUCUGUAAUGUAUCACUUUUUUCCCAAUGAACACAAAUACUCAAUCCAUCAAAACUAUGCUCAGUCAUUUUGAACAACCAAAUUGUAAACUUGGUGGAUUUGACUUCU